AUCGCUUCUCGGCCUAUGGCUAAGAUCAAAGUGUAGUAUCUGUUCUUAUCAGCUUAAUAUCUGAUACGCUCCCCAUUGGGGAGCCAGAAUAUUAAACUGGUUUUUGGAAUUAGACCGGAUGUCUGGGGCUUGCUCCGGUCCGGUCACGGGUCGACUCGACAUUGCAGUGCCGUCGAGACUGGCCCACCUUAA